UACGAAGGGUGCAAGCGUUACUCGGAAUUACUGGGCGUAAAGCGUGCGUAGGCGGUUUGUUAAGUCUGUCGUGAAAGCCCCGGGCUCAACCUGGGAAUGGCGAUGGAAACUGGCGAGCUAGAGUACGGUAGAGGAGAGCGGAAUUCCGGGUGUAGCGGUGAAAUGCGUAGAUAUCCGGAGGAACACCGGUGGCGAAGGCGGCUUCCUGGACCGACACUGACGCUGAGGCGCGAAAGCUAGGGGAGCAAACGGG
rnacentral:rRNA from 1 species